rnacentral:rRNA from 1 species
AUUGAACGCUGGCGGCAGGCUUAACACAUGCAAGUCGAGCGGAGCGAGGGUGCUUGCACCUUAGCUUAGCGGCGAACGGGUGAGUAAUGCUUAGGAAUCUGCCUAUUAGUGGGGGACAACAUUCCGAAAGGAAUGCUAAUACCGCAUACGCCCUACGGGGGAAAGCAGGGGAUCUUUGGACCUUGCGCUAAUAGAUGAGCCUAGGUCGGAUUAGCUAGUUGGUGGGGUAAAGGCCUACCAAGGCGACGAUCUGUAGCGGGUCUGAGAGGAUGAUCCGCCACACUGGGACUGAGACACGGCCCAGACUCCUACGGGAGGCAGCAGUGGGGAAUAUUGGACAAUGGGCGGAAGCCUGAUCCAGCCAUGCCGCGUGUGUGAAGAAGGCCUUUUGGUUGUAAAGCACUUUAAGCGAGGAGGAGGAGCUCUAGGUUAAUACCCUAGAUGCUUGGACGUUACUCGCAGAAUAAGCACCGGCUAACUCUGUGCCAGCCGCCGCAGUAACAC